CAGUAGCCGCGGUAAUACGUAGGUCCCGAGCGUUGUCCGGAUUUAUUGGGCGUAAAGCGAGCGCAGGCGGUUAGAUAAGUCUGAAGUUAAAGGCUGUGUCUUAACCAUAGUACGCUUUGGAAACUGUUUAACUUGAGUGCAAGAGGGGAGAGUGGAAUUCCAUGUGUAGCGGUGAAAUGCGUAGAUAUAUGGAGGAACACCGGUGGCGAAAGCGGCUCUCUGGCUUGUAACUGACGCUGAGGCUCGAAAGCGUGGGGAGCAAACAGGAUUAGAUACCCCUGUAGUCCCUGUCUCUUAUACA
rnacentral:rRNA from 1 species